rnacentral:rRNA from 1 species
UACGAAGGGGGCUAGCGUUGUUCGGAAUUACUGGGCGUAAAGCGCACGUAGGCGGAUCGAUCAGUCAGGGGUGAAAUCCCAGGGCUCAACCCUGGAACUGCCCUUUGAUACUGUCGAUCUGGAGUAUGGAAGAGGUGAGUGGAAUUCCGAGUGUAGAGGUGAAAUUCGUAGAUAUUCGGAGGAACACCAGUGGCGAAGGCGGCUCACUGGUCCAUUACUGACGCUGAGGUGCGAAAGCGUGGGAGCAACAGG